rnacentral:snRNA from 12 species
ACACUUACCUGGCGGGGGCGACACCGUGAUCACGAAGCUGGUUCUCCCGGGCGAGGCUCGGCCAUGCACUCAGGGGUGUGGAGUCCACGAGCUCUCCCCUGACCUCCCCGGUCCCUGGUGCCACACUGCGCC